GCAUGUACAUGUAAUAAUACACACUACUGUGUAGCAGUUUUUUCAAGGAUACAAACCAAAAAUUCAUCAAAUUAAUUUUUGCAAAUUUCCAUUAUUUUAGCCAUCUUGUACCAUUAUUCCACGUAAUUUAAUUUUAUGAGUGUUUAAAAAAAUCCAUAAAUUUUUUAUCCUUGAAGAAGCACUAUAUUUAGUUAUUUACGUGUGUAAAAUAUACAAAAAUUUACUUUUAUAGUAUAAUGAAACUCCAUUACACAAUGCUUGUCGUUUUGGUAAAGCUGAUAUUGUCAAAUUAUUAAUAACUAAAGGAAAUGCUGAUGUGAAUGCUGUGGAUGAGGAGAACAGAACUCCAUUGUUUCAUGCUGUUAAACGGAGAAGUGAAAUUGUAAAUACUCUAUUAACUAAUGGAGCUAGAACUGAUGUUGUGGAUAAAUAUGGUAACACUCCUCUGUUACUAGCAAUUGAAGAAGGUAGAUCAACUGAAAUUAUCAAAUCAUUGAUUGCUAAAGGCCAAGCUGAUGUGACUGCUGCUUGUGAGAAAUAUUGUAUCAAUCCUGAGCUAUCUAGAUCUGAAAUUACUGAGUUAUUAAUCACUAAGAUGCCAAAAUUAAUAUUUUCACCACGGCUAGAAAGGCAAUGGAUGUCAUCACGACUAGAAAGGCAACAGAUUCAAAUGUCCUCAUCAAUGUCAAUGUCAAUGUCCACAUCGCGACUAGAAAGGCUGCGUUACUUUGAAGCACAGUCAGUAAGUAACAUUAUAU